rnacentral:rRNA from 1 species
GAGGAAUCUGUAUAUUAAUCGAUAAUCCACGUUUUAUCUAACCAAGCUUAGCAUUUUCAGUNUGGAUAUCGUUGUUGUCAAAUUGAAUUUGCUAAUUACUUUNUUAAUUGUUUCUGUUAAUAAGACAAAUCAAGGUGCAGCUAAUAGUUUAGGGUUAAUAUGGAUUACAUUGUUGGUAGGUUCGGAUUAAGCUUUGUAAUGUAAGCUUAUAAAGUUGGAUUUAGUUGUAUAAAUAUAUUAGAAAAAUAUUUUGAAAUUGUUAUAAAUUGUGU